UGUCCGGAAUUAUUGGGCGUAAAGAGCUCGUAGGCGGUUUGUCGCGUCUGCUGUGAAAGCCCGGGGCUCAACCCCGGGUCUGCAGUGGGUACGGGCAGACUAGAGUGCAGUAGGGGAGACUGGAAUUCCUGGUGUAGCGGUGAAAUGCGCAGAUAUCAGGAGGAACACCGAUGGCGAAGGCAGGUCUCUGGGCUGUAACUGACGCUGAGGAGCGAAAGCAUGGGGAGCGAACAGGAUUAGAUACCCUGGUAGUCCAUGCCGUAAACGUUGGGCACUAGGUGUGGGGGACAUUCCACGUUUUCCGCGCCGUAGCUAACGCAUUAAGUGCCCCGCCUGGGGAGUACGGCCGCAAGGCUAAAACUCAAAGGAAUUGACGGGGGCCCGCACAAGCGGCGGAGCAUGCGGAUUAAUUCGAUGCAACGCGAAGAACCUUACCAAGGCUUGACAUGGACCGGACCGCCGCAGAAAUGCGGUUUCCCUUCGGGGCCGGUUUACAGGUGGUGCAUGGUUGUCGUCAGCUCGUGUCGUGAGAUGUUGGGUUAAGUCCCGCAACGAGCGCAACCCUCGUUCUAUGUUGCCAGCGCGUUAUGGCGGGGACUCAUAGGAGACUGCCGGGGUCAACUCGGAGGAAGGUGGGGACGACGUCAAAUCAUCAUGCCCCUUAUGUCUUGGGCUUCACGCAUGCUACAAUGGCCGGUACAAAGGGUUGCGAUACUGUGAGGUGGAGCUAAUCCCAAAAAGCCGGUCUCAGUUCGGAUUGAGGUCUGCAACUCGACCUCAUGAAGUCGGAGUCGCUAGUAAUCGCAGAUCAGCAACGCUGCGGUGAAUACGUUCCCGG
rnacentral:rRNA from 1 species